UCGCAGGCUGCAACCCGCCUGCGUGAAGUUGGAAUCGCUAGUAAUCGCGGAUCAGCAUGCCGCGGUGAAUACGUUCCCGGGCCUUGUACACACCGCCCGUCACACCAUGAGAGUCGGGAACACCCGAAGUCCGUAGUCUAACCGCAAGGGGGACGCGGCCAAAGGUGGGUUCGAUAAUUGGGGUGAAGUCGUAACAAGGUAAC
rnacentral:rRNA from 1 species